UUGCUGGGAAAAAAAAAAAUUGCACUGUUUCGUAUUGUUUGAACAUAGCACCUUUUUAUUAGUCAUAUUAUGGGAGCUGUCAGGAGUUGUGAAAUAUUUGCACAAAAUCUGAAAAGGACUUCUGCUUUUAUUUGUUAUUUCAUUUAAUUAGUUCUCAUUGUUAUUGAGGUUAUUUUAAUGUGUGUUUAUGUGUGGGUAUGUUUGAUCAACAUUUAAACUAAGUUCUGUCAUAUGGCUGUUAUCAAUUUAUGAUCGAAAUCAUAAUCUUGCCUAAAAAAGUAAGCCCCUUCAGCUGUUCCCUUGUUUGCACACGGAGGGUUGCCAUAGCACAUCCGAGUCCUCAGUCACGAAAAUGGCUAGAACUGUCUCGGAGACCAACUGAAGAAAAUCACUCGGAGCUGGAGAACAUGAACCCCUGUACCGAUUUCUGUCAAUGACCAUGUUGUUCGUAAAUCAUUUUUAAGGUCUUGAUAUUUCGUUUGUGUGUCCUCUAUGAAUUGUUGUGUGUGUGUUCAGGUCGCCCUUUUGCCAAAAUCUUUUACCACACUCAGAACAAGCAAAUGGUUUUUGUCCUGUAUGAAUUAUCAUGUGUCUUUUCAGGUUGCUCUUUUGUCCAAAUCUUUGACCACACUCAGAACAGA